AGCAGUAGCCACGGGAACACGGAGGGUGCAAGCGUUAAUCGGAAUUACUGGGCGUAAAGCGCACGCAGGCGGUCUGACAAGUCAGAUGUGAAAUCCCCGGGCUUAACCUGGGAACUGCAUUUGAAACUGUCAGGCUGGAGUCUUGUAGAGGGGGGUAGAAUUCCAGGUGUAGCGGUGAAAUGCGUAGAGAUCUGGAGGAAUACCGGUGGCGAAGGCGGCCCCCUGGACAAAGACUGACGCUCAGGUGCGAAAGCGUGGGGAGCAAACAGGAUUAGAUACCCGCGUAGUCCCUGUCUCUUAUAC
rnacentral:rRNA from 1 species